CCAUCAUGUUUCUUUUCAAACCCCAUGAAGACGGAUCCUCUUUGGUUUAUUUUGAAGAAAAUCGUGCACCAAGAAGAUGUCGAAGAGAAGGCUGAAGUUUUUGUUUGAAACCAGGGAAAGAUCCGGUGAAAUUUCACAUUUUUUUACGUUUUCGAGGAGGCUGAAGGGGUUUGUUCGAAAAUCAUGUUAAAGAAGAUGUUGAAGAUGAUUCAAAAGAUGUUUGAUGUUGAACAUAGUUACGAAAUGUAA
rnacentral:lncRNA from 1 species